CAAAAAAUAGUUUAAGUAAAACAUUAAUUUUGGAGAUUAAAAAUAUUUGAUUGAACUAAUUUUUUUGA
rnacentral:tRNA from 1 species